UGCCACAAAAUCAGGAUAGGGCUCUU
rnacentral:piRNA from 1 species